rnacentral:rRNA from 1 species
CCUACGGGUGGCAGCAGUGGGGAAUAUUGGACAAUGGGGGGAACCCUGAUCCAGCCAUGCCGCGUGUGUGAAGAAGGCCCUCGGGUUGUAAAGCACUUUCAGUGAGGAAGAACGCCUGGUGGUUAAUACCCAUCAGGAAAGACAUCACUCACAGAAGAAGCACCGGCUAACUCCGUGCCAGCAGCCGCGGUAAUACGGAGGGUGCGAGCGUUAAUCGGAAUUACUGGGCGUAAAGCGCGCGUAGGUGGCUUGAUAAGCCGGUUGUGAAAGCCCCGGGCUCAACCUGGGAACGGCAUCCGGAACUGUCAAGCUAGAGUGCAGGAGAGGAAGGUAGAAUUCCCAGUGUAGCGGUGAAAUGCGUAGAGAUCGGGAGGAAUACCAGUGGCGAAGGCGGCCUUCUGGACUGACACUGACACUGAGGUGCGAAAGCGUGGGUAGCAAACAGGAUUAGAUACCCGGGUAGUC